GGCACUAGCUUCCAUCUUCCUGGCUGCAUCCACUAUAGAGUGAAAACUCUCCUUUUCUGCUGGAAGGAUCAAGGAAGAAUACCUGGGAUGAAGUCUCAUGGUAUAUCUUCUUGCCUUCUUCUGAUCAGUAUCAUAGGCCUGACCCACGUACUGAAGCAAAUCUAGGAACUUAUCCGUAAACUCAUCAACACUCAUUUCAUCUGUUUGUCUUAGCUGUUCAAACUCUAUUAUCUUCAUCUCCCUGGAGCUAUCAGGAAAAGCCCACCCUGCAAACUCAUUGGCGAACUCUCCCCACGACAUACUGUUCAUUCUGGGCUCUAUAUAGUUCUUG
rnacentral:lncRNA from 1 species